rnacentral:rRNA from 1 species
ACGAACGCUUGCGGCGUGCUUCACCCCUGCAAGUCGAACGGAAAGGCCCUGCUUGCAGGGUACUCGAGUGGCGAACGGGUGAGUAACACGUGGGUGAUCUGCCCUGCACUUCGGGAUAAGCCUGGGAAACUGGGUCUAAUACCGGAUAGGAGCCAUUUUUAGUGUGAUGGUUGGAAAGUUUUUUCGGUGUAGGAUGAGCUCGCGGCCUAUCAGCUUGUUGGUGGGGUAAUGGCCUACCAAGGCGGCGACGGGUAGCCGGCCUGAGAGGGUGGACGGCCACAUUGGGACUGAGAUACGGCCCAGACUACUACGGGAGGCAGCAGUGGGGAAUAUUGCACAAUGGGCGCAAGCCUGAUGCAGCGACGCCGCGUGGGGGAUGACGGCCUUCGGGUUGUAAACUCCUUUCGCUAGGGACGAAGCUUUUGUGACGGUACCUAGAUAAGAAGCACCGGCUAACUACGUG